GGUUUUCUUGUCAAACUGACAGCGAGUUGAUUUUCUACAUCUUGCACUCUCACCCGUGACAUGUGAUGACUGGGAUGCUGCGAAGCGGCGCUCACCUGUUUCCACGACAACCUUAAGAACGUCACGGCGCAGCACGAGAUAGCGUCGGGCAUGCAAUUGUUCAGCAGUCUGAAAAACUCAAACCUGAGGAAGGCUGUCCAGUGCAAAGACCCUGGCCCCGCCCCGGAUCAUUCCUGCCCAGCCUGCGAUUCUUUCCCCAGGACGAAGGCGGAGCUUGUCAACCAGCUGUCCCAGUUCCUCGAAAAGGCAGCGAGCAGCUUGUCUACAAAAAGACGGGGAUGAAUCCACCAACUAGGACGCAGCUGAACCCACCAAUCCGGACGCAGCUGAACCCAUCAGACCUCAUCUACAUUCAAAUUUUUAUUUAAGAGCAGCUCACAAUAAUGUAUUCCCAUUAACAGGCCAUAGAUCUUAUUCAUAUGAAUAUUUAUUUUCUUUGUAUUAACUGAUUUACUUAUUUAAUAUUUAUUAAUUUAUUAUUUAUUCAUUUAUUUAUACAGAGUGUGUGGACACUUGGUUAUUGGUUCUUAAAGAACCUAUGAUUUGCUACCGUUCAUGGUAAUUUAUUUAUUUACAAAUAAAAUUAUUUUUAUUUAAUAAAAA
ensembl:lncRNA